rnacentral:rRNA from 1 species
CAGUCGCCACGGGAAUACGUAGGUGGCAAGCGUUGUCCGGAAUUAUUGGGCGUAAAGGGCUCGCAGGCGGUUUCUUAAGUCUGAUGUGAAAGCCCCCGGCUCAACCGGGGAGGGUCAUUGGAAACUGGGAAGCUUGAGUGCAGAAGAGGAGAGUGGAAUUCCACGUGUAGCGGCGGAAUGCGUAGAGAUGUGGAGGAACACCAGUGGCGAAGGCGACUCUCUGGUCUGUAACUGACGCUGAGGAGCGAAAGCGUGGGGAGCGAACAGGAUUAGAUACCCGCGUAGUCCCUGUCUCUUAUAC